UUCUCGUAUAUUAUCUAUUUUCAGCACAGAAAUGAACUAUCAGGAUACCAGCUCUGCCGCUCAGCAAGCGAUCUCCCUAGCAAAUAAUAUGCUGGCCUGACCACACUCAUCCUACAUCCCAGUAACUUCUCAGUAUAGUUUCUCUAAAAUUUUACAUGGGUUUAUUAGGGGGAAAGCAUUUAUGUACAAACCCCACAGCAACAAUUUGAUCCCACAAGCAGGCAACCUCUAUGGUUAAACAUGUUCUGAUUUAGAAUGCCCAUUUUAACACUACAAACUUCUCAGACCGAUGAUUUCCCUCCUCCCACUUGGCCUAUAGACAAGUUUAUGUAUCGUUCUCAGUUCCCCUUAACUCUGCCCAGUACAUAGUGCAGAGCCAAUCAACAUUAAGCAACUAAGCGAGUGAUUUCAGUCAUCCUCAGACACCUCUUUCCCACAGAUCCACCAGGUCAGCCUCUUCCGCACCUUCAAUCCUAGUUUUACCAUUGCCUGUGAUCCUGGAACCCACAUCUAAGACUACUGUAAUCUACUGCGGAAAAGCUGAAAGAUCCGACAGCAGACUAAGAAGCAUUAGAUUAGAACACCAAGGACGGUUAAUCUGCACCUAAGACAUAAAAAAGCCACAGACAACCUGGUGACAUGCCUACUGAGAGAAAACCCAAACCGCUCUGGUGUCCUGGCUGUCAGCGAGCUAUGAGAUUGAAAAAUUUCCCCAAGGAACAAGAAAUAUCUCUGAUUUGAUUGCUCAUGAAGGAAUCAAGAAGAAGAGUUGGGGGCCUGUAGCCUGCCCUGUCCAUCUAAGGAGCACCGCCAGGAAGAGAAACCGUUUCCAGCUUGUCCUGAGUCCAGACCUGCUUUCUAAGCAACGCCUGCCUGCCUGCAACGUCAACAUUCCAGAGGACUAUGAGAAGUCUUGCUGUCGUUAAUGCUGCUGCCUGACACAUUCCUCACAUGGGGCGGUAUACAUUCGUCUGUGUUAAUCGGCUUAUUUCCCAUAGACGGUUUGCAUCCCAAUAAAGAUGGAUUUAAGGAACUCGAGGCACUGAAAAGUUAAGAGACUAAUUUUUGUAAAGGAUCACAUUCUCUCCAGUGUCCGGGCUGGUUGACGUCCAGAUAUGUCCAGGGAAAAGAGAGAGUGGCUGGAAGAAACUGAUCAGCAACACGAGGUGAUCCUUCAUUCUCUGACCAGACACCUCUUGCCACUGACUCAGCCAAACACUGCCACAUGCAUCUUCUCGGUGGAAUUUGGCACCUACUGC